UACAGAGGUCCCGAGCGUUGUUCGGAUUCAUUGGGCGUAAAGGGUGCGUAGGCGGUUUGCUAAGUUUGAUGUGAAAUUCCAGGGCUCAACCCUGGCAUGGCAUUGAAUACUGGCGGACUAGAGUACUGGAGAGGAAACUGGAAUUUACGGUGUAGCAGUGAAAUGCGUAGAGAUUAGGAAGAACACCAGUGGCGAAGGCGACUCUCUGGACUGUAACUGACGCUGAGGCUCGAAAGCGUGGGGAGCAAACAGG
rnacentral:rRNA from 1 species